CCAGACUCCUACGGGAGGCAGCAGUGGGGAAUAUUGGGCAAUGGGCGCAAGCCUGACCCAGCAACGCCGCGUGAAGGAAGAAGGCUUUCGGGUUGUAAACUUCUUUUCUGAGGGACGAAGAAAGUGACGGUACCUCAGGAAUAAGCCACGGCUAACUACGUGCCAGCAGCCGCGGUAAUACGUAGGUGGCAAGCGUUAUCCGGAUUUAUUGGGUGUAAAGGGCGUGUAGGCGGGAAUGCAAGUCAGAUGUGAAAACUAUGGGCUCGACCCAUAGCCUGCAUUUGAAACUGUAUUUCUUGAGUGCUGGAGAGGCAAUCGGAAUUCCGUGUGUAGCGGUGAAAUGCGUAGAUAUUAGGAGGAACACCAGUGGCGAAGGCGGCCUGCUGGACGACAACUGACGGUGAGGCGCGAAAGCGUGGGGAGCAAACAGGAUUAGAUACCCGGAUA
rnacentral:rRNA from 1 species